UUUCCGUAGGUGAACCUGCGGAAGGAUCAUUCAUAAUAAGUGAUUUAUGGCACUUUUUUAAAUCCAUAUCCACCUUGUGUGCAAUGUCAGGGUUGAUUUUUCUCUCGAGAGGAUCAACCCCAAACAUCAACUAUAUCUCAACUCUUUGUCUGAAAAAUAUUAUGAAUAAAACAAUUCAAAAUACAACUUUCAACAACGGAUCUCUUGGCUCUC
rnacentral:misc_RNA from 1 species